rnacentral:rRNA from 1 species
CUGCUGGAAGCGAACCUGGUGAACUGAAAUAUCUAAGUAACCAGAGGAAAAGAAAUCAACCGAGAUUCCGUAAGUAGCGACGAGCGAACGCGGACUAGCCCUUAAGCUGAUUUGGUUCUAGGAAAACACUCUGGAAAGAGUGGCCAUAGAAGGUGAUAGCCCUGUAUCUGAAAGGGCCAUUUCAGUGAAGACGAGUAGGGCGGGGCACGUGAAACCCUGUCUGAACAUGGGGGGACCAUCCUCCAAGGCUAAAUACUACUGACCGACCGAUAGUGAACCAGUACCGUGAGGGAAAGGCGAAAAGAACCCCGGAGAGGGGAGUGAAAUAGAACCUGAAACCGUGUGCGUACAAGCAGUAGGAGCUCCGCAAGGAGUGACUGCGUACCUUUUGUAUAAUGGGUCAGCGACUUACUGUUCGUGGCAAGCUUAACCGUAUAGGGGAGGCGAAGGGAAACCGAGUCUGAUAAGGGCGCAUAGUCGCGGGCAGUAGACCCGAAACCGGGUGAUCUAGUCAUGCCCAGGGUGAAGGUGCGGUAACACGCACUGGAGGCCCGAACCCACUCCCGUUGCAAAGGUAGGGGAUGAGGUGUGAUUAGGAGUGAAAAGCUAAUCGAACCCGGAGAUAGCUGGUUCUCCUCGAAAGCUAUUUAGGUAGCGCCUCAUAUGUAUCCUCUCGGGGGUAGAGCACUGUUAUGGCUAGGGGGUCAUCGCGACUUACCAAACCAUUGCAAACUCCGAAUACCGAGACGGACUGUAUGGGAGACACACGGCGGGUGCUAACGUCCGUCGUGAAAAGGGAAACAACCCAGACCGUCAGCUAAGGUCCCAAAGUUAUGGUUAAGUGGGAAACGAUGUGGGAAGGCUUAGACAGCUAGGAGGUUGGCUUAGAAGCAGCCACCCUUUAAAGAAAGCGUAAUAGCUCACUAGUCGAGUCGGCCUGCGCGGAAGAUGUAACGGGGCUAAAACUACAUGCCGAAGCUGCGGAUGCAUAUUUUAUAUGCGUGGUAGGGGAGCGUUCUGUAAGUCUGCGAAGGUGUAUCGAGAGGUAUGCUGGAGAUAUCAGAAGUGCGAAUGCUGACGUAAGUAACGAUAAAGGGGGUGAAAAGCCUCCUCGCCGGAAGACCAAGGGUUCCUGUCCAACGUUAAUCGGGGCAGGGUGAGUCGGCCCCUAAGGCGAGGCUGAAAAGCGUAGUCGAUGGAAAACAGGUUAAUAUUCCUGUACUUCUGGUUAUUGCGAUGGAGGGACGGAGAAGGCUAGGCCAGCUUGGCGUUGGUUGUCCAAGUUUAAGGUGGUAGGCUUAAAUCUUAGGUAAAUCCGGGAUUUUUUAAGGCCGAGAGCUGAUGACGAGUUAUCUUUUAGAUGACGAAGUGGUCGAUGCCAUGCUUCCAGGAAAAGCUUCUAAGCUUCAGGUAACUAGGAACCGUACCCCAAACCGACACAGGUGGUUGGGUAGAGAAUACCAAGGCGCUUGAGAGAACUCGGGUGAAGGAACUAGGCAAAAUGGCACCGUAACUUCGGGAGAAGGUGCGCCGGUGAGGGUGAAGUAUUUACUACGUAAGCCCAUGCCGGUCGAAGAUACCAGGCCGCUGCGACUGUUUAUUAAAAACACAGCACUCUGCAAACACGAAAGUGGACGUAUAGGGUGUGACGCCUGCCCGGUGCCGGAAGGUUAAUUGAUGGGGUUAGCUAACGCGAAGCUCUUGAUCGAAGCCCCGGUAAACGGCGGCCGUAACUAUAACGGUCCUAAGGUAGCGAAAUUCCUUGUCGGG